rnacentral:misc_RNA from 1 species
GAGGUGGGCGACAUAUCAAUAGAAUCGGUUGGUGGUUCAAGAAAUGGUUCUACCAGCAUGCUAGUGAGGCAUUGGAGAAGGGGGAGUUUGUGGAGUAUAUUCCAACUAGGGAGUACUACCACAGGCACACUAGGUCUUUGUUCUGGGAGAUGAAGCUCAUUCUGCCCUUCGGGGAUCAAUGGUGGUUCCGGUGGUUGGCGGGGUGGGCGAUGCCGCCGAAGAUAUCGCUGAUGAAGGUGACGCAAGGCGAGGCGAUCAGGAAGUAUUACCAUGAUAUGCAUGUUAUUCAGGACAUGCUGCUGCCGAUGUACAAGGUUGGGGAUGCGCUUGAGUUUCUCCAUAGAGAGAUGGAGGUUUACCCCAUUUGGCUCUGCCCACAUCGUCUCUUCAAGCUGCCAGUGAAGACGAUGGUGCACCCAGAGGUCGGUUACGAGC